rnacentral:rRNA from 1 species
CACAUGCAGGUCGAGGGGCAGCAUUUUACUUUGCUUGCAAACUAAAGAUGGCGACCGGCGCACGGGUGAGUAACACGUAUCCAACCUGCCGAUAACUCGGGGAUAGCCUUUCGAAAGAAAGAUUAAUAUCCGAUAGUAUAUUAAAACCGCAUGGUUUUACUAUUAAAGAAUUUCGGUUAUCGAUGGGGAUGCGUUCCAUUAGUUUGUUGGCGGGGUGACGGCCCACCAAGACUACGAUGGAUAGGGGUUCUGAGAGGAAGGUCCCCCACAUUGGAACUGAGACACGGUCCAAACUCCUACGGGAGGCAGCAGUGAGGAAUAUUGGUCAAUGGACGAGAGUCUGAACCAGCCAAGUAGCGUGAAGGAUGACUGCCCUAUGGGUUGUAAACUUCUUUUAUAUGGGAAUAAAGUAUUCCACGUGUGGGAUUUUGUAUGUACCAUAUGAAUAAGGAUCGGCUAACUCCGUGCCAGCAGCCGCGGUAAUACGGAGGAUCCGAGCGUUAUCCGGAUUUAUUGGGUUUAAAGGGAGCGUAGGUGGAUUGUUAAGUCAGUUGUGAAAGUUUGCGGCUCAACCGUAAAAUUGCAGUUGAAACUGGCAGUCUUGAGUACAGUAGAGGUGGGCGGAAUUCGUGGUGUAGCGGUGAAAUGCUUAGAUAUCACGAAGAACUCCGAUUGCGAAGGCAGCUCACUAGACUGCAACUGACACUGAUGCUCGAAAGUGUGGGUAUCAAACAGGAUUAGAUACCCUGGUAGUCCACACAGUAAACGAUGAAUACUCGCUGUUUGCGAUAUACAGUAAGCGGCCAAGCGAAAGCAUUAAGUAUUCCAACUGGGGAGUACGCCGGCAACGGUGAAACUCAAAGGAAUUGACGGGGGCCCGCACAAGCGGAGGAACAUGUGGUUUAAUUCGAUGAUACGCGAGGAACCUUACCCGGGCUUAAAUUGCAUUUGAAUAAUCUGGAAACAGGUUAGCCGCAAGGCAAAUGUGAAGGUGCUGCAUGGUUGUCGUCAGCUCGUGCCGUGAGGUGUCGGCUUAAGUGCCAUAACGAGCGCAACCCUUAUCUUUAGUUACUAACAGGUCAUGCUGAGGACUCUAGAGAGACUGCCGUCGUAAGAUGUGAGGAAGGUGGGGAUGACGUCAAAUCAGCACGGCCCUUACGUCCGGGGCUACACACGUGUUACAAUGGGGGGUACAGAAGGCAGCUACACGGCGACGUGAUGCUAAUCCCGAAAGCCUCUCUCAGUUCGGAUUGGAGUCUGCAACCCGACUCCAUGAAGCUGGAUUCGCUAGUAAUCGCGCAUCAGCCACGGCGCGGUGAAUACGUUCCCGGGCCUUGUACACACCGCCCGUCAAGCCAUGAAAGCCGGGGGUACCUGAAGUGCGUAACGGCAAGGAGCGCCCUAGGGUAAAACUGGUGAUUGGG